rnacentral:rRNA from 1 species
GAUGAACGCUGACAGAAUGCUUAACACAUGCAAGUCUUUGGCGAAGCUGUGCUUGCACAGCCUAGCCAAGGCGGACGGGUGAGUAACGCGUAAGGAACUUGCCCUGCAGUCAGGGAUAACAGACGGAAACGACUGAUAAGACCUGGUAAAGUCAGGCGGACUCAUGUCCAGCCUGAUGAAAGGAGAUGCUGCAGGAGAGCCUUGCGUCCUAUUAGCUUGUUGGUGGGGUAACGGCCCACCAAGGCGAUGAUAGGUAGCCGGCCUGAGAGGGUGGACGGCCACAAGGGGACUGAGAUACGGCCCUUACUCCUACGGGAGGCGGCAGUGGGGAAUAUUGGACAAUGGGGGCAACCCUGAUCCAGCAAUUCUGUGUGCACGAUGAAGGUUUUCGGAUUGUAAAGUGCUUUCAGCAGGGAAGAAAAAAAUGACGGUACCUGCAGAAGAAGCGACGGCUAAAUACGUG